AAAUUGAAGAGUUUGAUCAUGGCUCAGAUUGAACGCUGGCGGCAGGCCUAACACAUGCAAGUCGAACGGUAACAGGAAGCAGCUUGCUGCUUUGCUGACGAGUGGCGGACGGGUGAGUAAUGUCUGGGAAACUGCCCGAUGGAGGGGGAUAACUACUGGAAACGGUAGCUAAUACCGCAUAACGUCGCAAGACCAAAGAGGGGGACCUUAGGGCCUCUUGCCAUCGGAUGUGCCCAGAUGGGAUUAGCUAGUAGGUGGG
rnacentral:rRNA from 1 species